GAUGAACGCUGGCGGCGUGCCUAAUACAUGCAAGUCGAGCGAACAGACGAGGAGCUUGCUCCUCUGACGUUAGCGGCGGACGGGUGAGUAACACGUGGAUAACCUACCUAUAAGACUGGGAUAACUUCGGGAAACCGGGGCUAAUACCGGAUAAUAUAUUGAACCGCAUGGUUAAUUAGUGAAGGACGGUUUUGCUGUCACUUAUAGAUGGAUCCGCGCCGCAUUAGCUAGUUGGUAAGGUAACGGCUUACCAAGGCAACGAUGCGUAGCCGACCUGAGAGGGUGAUCGGCCACACUGGAACUGAGACACGGUCCAGACUCCUACGGGAGGCAGCAGUAGGGAAUCUUCCGCAAUGGGCGAAAGCCUGACGGAGCAACGCCGCGUGAGUGAUGAAGGUCUUCGGAUCGUAAAACUCUGUUAUUAGGGAAGAACAAAUGUGUAAGUAACUAUGCACGUCUUGACGGUACCUAAUCAGAAAGCCACGGCUAACUACGUG
rnacentral:rRNA from 1 species